rnacentral:rRNA from 1 species
CGCUGAACUUAAGCAUAUCAAUAAGCGGAGGAAAAGAAACCAACUGGGAUUGCCUUAGUAACGGCGAGUGAAGCGGCAAAAGCUCAAAUUUGAAAUCUGGCGCCUUUGGUGUCCGAGUUGUAAUUUGAAGAAGGUAACUUUUGAAAUGAGCCUUGCAUAAGUUCCUUGGAACAGGACGUCAUAGAGGGUGAGAAUCCCGUAUAUGGUGGGGUAUUCAUUUCAAUGUAAAGUGCUUUCGAAGAGUCGAGUUGUUUGGGAAUGCAGCUCUAAGUGGGUGGUAAAUUCCAUCUAAAGCUAAAUAUUGGCGAGAGACCGAUAGCGAACAAGUACAGUGAUGGAAAGAUGAAAAGAACUUUGAAAAGAGAGUGAAAAAGUACGUGAAAUUGUUGAAAGGGAAGGGCUUGAAAUCAGACUUGGUAUUCAGUGAUCAGCGAUCUCUCGGGGUUGUGCACUUGCUGUUUACUGGGCCAGCAUCGGUUUUGACGGUGGGAUAAGAGUACUUGAAUGUGGCUCCCUUCGGGGAGUGUUUAUAGCCUG